GUGCCAGCCGCCGCGGUAAUACAGGGGGGGCAAGCGUUGUUCGGAAUUACUGGGCGUAAAGGGUCAGUAGGCGGCCAACUAAGUCCGACGUGAAAUCCCAAAGCUUAACUUUGGAACUGCGUCGGAUACUGGAUGGCUUGAAUUCGGGAGAGGGAUGCAGAAUUCCAGGUGUAGCGGUGAAAUGCGUAGAUAUCUGGAGGAAUACCGGUGGCGAAGGCGGCAUCCUGGACCGAGAUUGACGCUGAACGACGAAAGCUAGGGGAGCAAACGGGAUUAGAUACCCGCGUAGUCC
rnacentral:rRNA from 1 species